ensembl:lncRNA
GAUUCUACUGCCCGGAAGGCACGGAGAAGGCAGAAGUCUGCCCUGACAACACCAUCAGGGUCUCUCCCGGAGGCGCCACCAUCGACGAUUGCCUUCCAUGUCCGCCACAGCAUUGGUGCAAGCGAGGUAGGAGUGACGACACGGCAUGCAGAAUCCUUUUUUGGGCGGAAACCAACAGGUUGACUAUUCCCCCGAACUCCUCCGAAGGUGACCCGGUCCUGCACCUGUGUCCCGCUGGCCACUACUGCGAUGGGCUGUCUGCUGGCGACUACGGUGAAGGGGGCGGACCCAGAGAAUGUCCGUCAUUCACCUACAGAUCCGCCCCCGGCGCCGGCAGCAGGGGGGACUGUCACCCCUGUCCCCCUGGAACCUACUGUACCUCUACAGGUCAGGCUGAACCUUCUUACCUACCCUGGGCAGCGGAGGUCUGUUGUCUCCUAGAGCGAGCCACCGAAACUCUGAACUGCUCAACGAUACGGCACCAGGCUAUGUCUCUCUGUCGGCGCCUUUUGAAAGGGCACGGGAAGCGUCUGUGGACGCUGGCUAGUCAGUUUUGUCAGUUUCGUUGCGUCUGAAGUUCCUUCGGGUGAAAACAAAACUUCAUUUAGGUUAGUUUAAUAAGCCAUAAUGGGGAAUCUAAAACACGGUUUUCUUAAGGGCAACAUUAAUGAGUAUCCUGUGGAUUUGCAUGUAACUAAAAUCAUUAAUUUACUCUCCUCUUAAGUGCAUACUAUUUGAAUAGCAAUUGCUUUUACAGUGGAAUUAAGCUGGAAUGUAACCACUGGGCUUUGAAUCACCAGAAGUGCUUGCUCUGUCUGGUUUUGAAUGUAUUCAGGUCUAACAGACUACUCUGGCUACCCCUGUCCGCCUGGUUACUGGUGCAGCGGCACCGGUCCUCCCGUCCUGUGCCCAGCGGGCACCAUGAGGCCCCUGCCAGGGGCGGCAGCUCCCGGCCAAUGUGAGCCCUGUGUGGGGGGAACCUACUGCCCAGACCCCAGAUCCACCGGGCAGCCCAACGUCGCUGGCAUCCCGUGUAGGGCCUCGUAUCACUGUCCCCCAGGUGCGGUGUCAGAGAGGCUGUGUAAACCUGGCUUCUACUGUGGGCCCCAGACGGCGGUGCCUGACAUCUGUCCUGAAGGCUUCGUCUGCCCAGAGGGAUCACAGACCUACAACACACCGCAACAGGUCUGCCCAUUCCCCUUCUACUGCCCUUCCAACAGCUCCGCCAUGCUGUCCUGUUCGGGAGGCUGGAUGCCCGUCAACACCAGUGGCCCCCGUGCCUCCCAGGACAGCAGCUGUGUACUGUGUGAAGCGGGGACCUACCGUCCUCGCCCGUCACCCCAUCCCCACUGCCUCAGCUGCCCCGCUGGGUACCACUGCCCUCCAGGGACAGAGAACUACCACAGCAACCCCUGUCCCCUGGGACAUGUGUGUCCAAUGGGCUCCUCUACUCCGGUCGCAUGCCCUCCUGGUUCUUUUGGUAAUCUCUCCAAGGCUAGACGCCCUGAGGACUGCCACCCAUGUCCGCCGGACACCUUCAACCAUCUGGCUGCCCAGAGAGCCUGUUUUCCCUGUGGUAGCUCUGCCACUGCACCUCAAGGUCUCAACCAACAGUUGUACUUAGAGUGA